rnacentral:rRNA from 1 species
UACGAAGGGGGCUAGCGUUGUUCGGAAUCACUGGGCGUAAAGGGCGCGUAGGCGGCUUUGUAAGUCGGGGGUGAAAGCCUGUGGCUCAACCACAGAAUUGCCUUCGAUACUGCAUGGCUUGAGACCGGAAGAGGUAAGUGGAACUGCGAGUGUAGAGGUGAAAUUCGUAGAUAUUCGCAAGAACACCAGUGGCGAAGGCGGCUUACUGGUCCGGUUCUGACGCUGAGGCGCGAAAGCGUGGGGAUCAAACAGG